CCAGGAGCCAGCUCCAUAUGCAGUCCUGCUGUGCCAGACUGAUACGCUGAGGUUUCUUCCUGGCCUCAGCAUCAUCUCAGCCUGGCUGCCCUUCCCUGAAACAGGACCAAAGUCUCCCCCCCGUACAGAUUCAGCAGGUUAUGGUUCAAUUAAUUUUCCUCUUGGGUUUGUGAACGAGAGCAAAGCUGUUUUGUUGCUGCCACUAAAUCUCCUGCACCGAGGAAAGGCUUUUCAGGCUGGUGAUCUGGUGUGUGCUCAUGAGUAUACACAGAUUCUGAAAGAAAUGGAUCUUUUGUGCAAUUUGAGCUCUUGGAUUAUGAAAGAUAUUUCUAAUCUUUGUGGUUUUGUGACAACAUUUUAAAAUAUGAAAUGAAUUCAGCUAACAGUCCAGAAACAAGGAAAGAGAAAACAAAAUAUAUCUCUUCUCUCCAUCACAUGGUUGGUUUGGGGAGGAAGAAUGAGUCACUAUUUUUUAGCACAUAAAAGUGGCUGUGAUUACCUCUGAUCCAAACCUGCUGAUAUGAACAGAAAAAAGGAUCUGAACUCAGCGCUUGCCUAGGCUCUGUGGAACUGAUCUGCCCUCCCCUGGGAGGUGAGGACACCGGCAAUUUCUUGGCAAGAGAUGGGAGAAGAGAACACGCUCAGUGGCAGCUGGCUGUGGCUCUGUCCCUGGGCUGGGGUCCGACAGCCGCUCCCCAUGUGAGGAGCAGCGCUGACACUCUGCACUCCUCCUGUGCCCGAAGAACACUGCGCCUCUCCUGGCUCAGGCCUCCUGAUCACCACAUCUAACCUACGUAGGAGACAGUACAUUGCAACAAAUUCAAAUGUUAACUAGUUUAAGACUCAGGUCUCUCAUUUUAAUUACUUUCUUUUAGUCAAAAUUAUCUUGCCUUUUGAGGCAGAUAAAAUCAGGACAGAGAUACAUGGGAAGAGUAAGCUUUUAAAGUUAGAGCACACAUCGUUUGUUCAGUAUGAGCUCCCCCUGGAACUGAGAGCUGGAAGAAUCCUGCUGGGCUGGAAAACAGUGGUUCAUCAGGAUAGCUACACAGCUGGGGAGAAGACAGAGGUGGAGGCUUCAUGUGUUUACAGUCAGGGGCGAGGGCAGAAUGGUUUUCCCUCUCCUGGGGUUUAGUGGCUGUAUAAACUGCACAUACCCCACUUCCCUGGUAAGGGGCUGUUAGUCAAGGCAGAAGGAGUCCUUGAAGGCCCUUUUCUUGGCCUUAGAGAAAGGCCCCAGCCAGCCCAGAGCUGAAAUAGCAUUUUUGGUUGUAGUUUCCAGAUUCAUCAACUUCUGCUUUAAUUCUUGGUGCUCACAGUUUUAAUUUCUAAAAUCCUGCCACUUCACGAUCUCCACCUCUGAG
rnacentral:lncRNA from 1 species